rnacentral:rRNA from 1 species
UCGAACGCGGUUACCCCGCAAGGGGUAACUGAGUGGCGAACGGGUGAGUAACACGUGGGUGACCUACCUUCGAAUGGGGGAUAACGUCCCGAAAGGGACGCUAAUACCGCAUAACAUCCUGUCCUUGAACGGAUGGCGAUCAAAGCCGGGGAUCGUAAGACCUGGCGUUUGAAGAGGGGCCCGCGUCCGAUUAGCUAGUUGGUGAGGUAACGGCUCACCAAGGCGACGAUCGGUAGCCGGCCUAAGAGGGCGGACGGCCACACUGGGACUGAGACACGGCCCAGACUCCUACGGGAGGCAGCAGUGGGGAAUUGUUCGCAAUGGGCGCAAGCCUGACGACGCAACGCCGCGUGGAGGAUGAAGGUCUUCGGAUUGUAAACUCCUGUUGCCUGGGACGAAUGGCUCCAACCUAAUACGUUGGGGUGUGACGGUACCGGGUGAGGAAGCCCCGGCUAACUCUGUGCCAGCAGCCGCGGUAAUACAGAGGGGGCAAGCGUUGUUCGGAAUUACUGGGCGUAAAGGGCGCGUAGGCGGCCUUUUAAGUCGAACGUGAAAUCCCCGGGCUCAACCCGGGAACUGCGUCCGAGACUGGAAGGCUCGAAUCCGGGAGAGGGAUGUGGAAUUCCAGGUGUAGCGGUGAAAUGCGUAGAUAUCUGGAGGAACAUCGGUGGCGAAGGCGGCAUCCUGGAUCGGUAUUGACGCUGAGGCGCGAAAGCCAGGGGAGCAAACGGGAUUAGAUACCCCGGUAGUCCUGGCCCUAA